rnacentral:rRNA from 1 species
AUUGAACGCUAGCGGGAUGCUUUACACAUGCAAGUCGAACGAGUGGCGGACGGGUGAGUAAUAUAUCGGAACGUGCCCAGUAGAGGGGGAUAACUACUCGAAAGAGUGGCUAAUAGCGCAUACUAUUGGAGCGGCAGGUAGCGGAUUAGCUAGUUGGUGGGGUAAAGGCUCACCCAGGCAAAGAGCCGUAGCUGGUGUGAGAGGACGACCAGCCACACUGUGAAUGAGACACGGCCCAGACUCCUACGGGAGGCAGCAGUGGUGAAUUUUGGACAAUGGGUGAAACUCUGAUCCAGCCAUCCCGCGUGUAUGAGAAGGCUUUCGGGUUGUAAAGUACUUUUGGCAGAGAAGCGGUAUCUGCAGAAUAAGCACCGGCUAACUACGUGCCAGCAGCCGCGGUAAUUC